UACAGAGGGUGCGAGCGUUGUCCGGAAUCACUGGGCGUAAAGGGCGCGUAGGUGGUGACCUAAGCGUGCGGUGAAAGCCCCGAGGCUCAACCUCGGGUCGGCCGUGCGAACUGGGUCACUGGAGCAGAAUAGAGGCAGGUGGAAUUCCGGGUGUAGCGGUGGAAUGCGUAGAGAUCCGGAAGAACACCGGUGGCGAAGGCGGCCUGCUGGGUUCUGGCUGACACUGAGGCGCGACAGCGUGGGGAGCAAACAGG
rnacentral:rRNA from 1 species